rnacentral:rRNA from 1 species
GACGAACGCUGGCGGCGUGCUUAACACAUGCAAGUCGAACGGAAAGGCCCUGCUUUUGUUGGGUCCUCGAGUGGCGAACGCGUGAGUAACACGUGAGUAACCUGCCCUUCACUUUGGGAUAACUUCAGGAAACUCGGGCUAUUAUCGGAUAUGAGCUCCUGCUGCAUGGUGGGGGUUGGAAAGUUUCGGCGGUUGGGGAUGGACUGGCGGCUUAUCAGCUUGUUGGUGGGGUAGUGGCUUACCAAGGCUUUGACGGGUAGCCGGCCUGAGAGGGUGACCGGCCACACUGGGACUGAGAUACGGCCCAGACUCCUACGGGAGGCAGCAGUGGGGAAUAUUGCACAAUGGGCGGAAGCCUGAUGCAGCAACGCCGCGUGCGGGAUGACGGCCUUCGGGUUGUAAACCGCUUUCGCCUGUGACGAAGCGUGAGUGACGGUAAUGGGUAAAGAAGCACCGGCUAACUACGUG